rnacentral:rRNA from 1 species
GACGGAGGGGGCUAGCGUUGUUCGGAAUUACUGGGCGUAAAGAGCACGUAGGCGGCGGUGCAAGUUGGGGGUGAAAUCCCGGGGCUCAACCCUGGAAUUGCCUCCAAAACUGUGCUGCUUGAGUUCGGAAGAGGAGAGUGGAAUUCCCAGUGUAGAGGUGAAAUUCGUAGAUAUUGGGAAGAACACCAGUGGCGAAGGCGACUCGCUGGACAAGUAUUGACGCUGAGGUGCGAAAGCGUGGGGAGCAAACAGG